GGGGUUGUGGCUCAGUGGUAGAGCACUCACAUCUCAUGUAUGAGACCCUGGGUUCAAUCCUCAGCACCA
rfam:Ictidomys tridecemlineatus contig037295, whole genome shotgun sequence.